UGUUCUUCAACAGAAUCAAACACAUAAACAAAUUCAUUUCAAUGCAUCAUCAAUCACUAAAACGAAAACAUGCACACAAACACGUCAUAUAAAAAUACAAACGAGUGGGCAACGACUAGCCUAUCUCGAUCUGUGUUUUAUAGCAUACUGUAAGGAAUUAAUAUUUUUCCGUCGGCUAAUAAUCUCGCUCACUGAACGCCAAGUGCAAAGUCAGCCCUCCCCUUUAAUCGCCUUUUGCCCGAGCGCUGAUCGCUGCACAGGGAGGACAGUGAGGAGGGAAUAUGAGGUAGACAGGACUUUACACGGGAAUAAUGGCGGCGCCGCUCCGGCGGGACACCUUACCUGACAACGGCUCUUAUGGAGUGUGCAGAGACGGCAGGGUCUUUUUCAUUGACGAUGAAGCGCGCGCCACUACUUGGCUUCAUCCCCGCACUGGUCAACCUGUCAAUUCUGGACACAUGAUCCGAUCCGAUCUGCCCCCAGGUUGGGAGGAAGGUUUUACGAAAGAAGGAGCGAGUUUUUUUAUUGAGUAAGUGGAUGUGUUUAUUGUAAUUAUACCUUAUGCGAUCCUGUAGUGCUGCAGGUGAAUUACAGGUCACAAGCGGGUUAAAUAUUGUUGUGAGCACACUUGAGCCGCAGAGAAUGAAUAUUAGGAAUUGUGCACGAAGGGGGUAUCAAAGGUAAGCUGCAGUCAUUGUGUUUGAAGACAGGUAUUCAAGUACAAAGUCUACAGGUGUAAAUGUCUCUUUGGGUUUAUGGUGGAUGUCGGAUGUUGGCUGUGAACGCUGCAAUUUCUCUGAAUGCUGUCUAGAUACAGCUUUGGUGUUUUUAAAGGGAUAGUUCACACAAAAAUGAAAAUGAUCUUUUCAUUUAGUUAGCCUGAGGGCAUCCAAGAUGUGGAGACUUUUUCAUUUUCAUCAGGAAAUUAAAGUAGAUAGUAUGCUGAAAAACUUUAUGGUGAUUCAUAAAGUGGGAGUUAGUGGAUAUAGAAAACUAAAUAAUCACUUGUGGGUUCUGAUGGUACAUUGAGGUCCUAUGAAGCAAAACAUUCAGAUUGUA